UGAAAAGAUAAAAAAGAAAAAUGAAACGAAAAAGAUAAAAAGAAAUAAGAAAAAAAGGGAAAAUGAUACAAAUAAAGAGAAAAAAGAGAAAAGAAAAAAAAUGAACAAAAAAGAGAAAAAAGAGAAAAGUAAAAAGAAAAAAGAUAAAAAAAAAGAAAAGAAAAAAAGAGAAAAUGGAAAUAAAAAAAGAAAGAAAAAUAUGAAAAAAAAAGAAAAAGAAAAAGAAAAAAAAAAUAAGAAAAAAAGUAAAAAAAAAAACAAAAGGAAAAAUCGAAUAAUGACAAGAAAGGUAAAGAGAAAAGAAGAAAACAGCCAAGUCAAAAAGUAAAGAAUAACUCGAAGGAAGGAGUGGAUGGCAAGAAAUACAGGGAAAGCAAUGCAUAGCACAGCCAAAGCAAAGCAAGGCAAAAUAGCAGCCAAAGCCACGAGAAUCAAGAGUCAGUGAAGAGCAGGAAAGGUAAGUUUCCCUUAAAGCAAGGGGGGAUGGUAGUGGAUGGGGGCAAAAGAGAGGGGAGGGGAGGGGGAGGGAAGUGAAGGAGUGGGGGGAGAGGGGGAGGAGCAGUGGGGAAAGCGGUGGGGCUAGAGGGGGGUGAGGGGUGCAAUUGAGGGGGAGGGAGGAAGGGUGGAGAGGGGGGAGAAGUGAGGGGGGUGAGUAAGUGGGGGCGUGGGUGGAUGGGGGGGGAGAGGAGAGAGGGUAGGAAGGAAAAAAUUGGAGGUAGGGUGAGGGAAGGGGGAGGGUUGAAGGGAAAAUAAUGAAACAGAGGAAAAAAGAGAAUAACAAGUAAAAAGCAAUGCAUGUAAAUACAGAGCAAGCAAGUAGGAAAGCUAGGCAUAGCACAGCAAAAGAGAGCAAAGCAAAAGAAGGCAAAGAAUGACAAAAAGCAACCUUGCAGGAAUGGAGGAAUCUGGCCAGAGCUGUGCCCCUGCUUGCCACAGGAGCUGCGCGGGAGGAGAAGAAUGUGGGCCAAAAGGAAUGGAGGAAUCUGGCCAGAGCUGUGCCCCUGCUUGCCACAGGAGCUGCGCGGGAGGAGAAGAAUGUGGGCCAAAAGGAAUGGAGGAAUCUGGCCAGAGCUGUGCCCCUGCUUGCCACAGGAGCUGCGCGGGAGGAGAAGAAUGUGGGCCAAAAGGAAUGGAGGAAUCUGGCCAGAGCUGUGCCCCUGCCUUGCCACAGGAGCUGCGCGGAGGAGAAGAAUGUGGGCCAAAAGGUAAGAGGAGCUCCUUUGGGUUCUGGGCUUGAAGCAAAGCUGAGAAGCCAUGCCCGGGAGGAGGUGUGGGUAGCUACAGGCCACCUUGCUAUCUCCCCAGGAGAUGAGGUGUGUGGGCUAGGCACCGGGCAGGAGUGCUGGCCAGAAGCAAGCAUCUCUGUGGAGGAGGGCAAAGGGCGGAGGAGGUUCAAGGGUAGCUACCGGGCAUGGCCUUGCUCAGCAAGGGGAGGAAAAGCCUGAAGGGCACGAGAAGGGGACAGAGAAGGGCAGGCAGUAGGCGUGAAGCUGUGAGCAGAGUAGAGAGCAACUUGGCGGAGAGCAGCAAGCAGAGUAGGCAAGUGCUGAGGUUUGGCGUGAGUAGCAGCAAAAGCCCAUAGCAUCAAGAAGCAGGAAGUGAGGAGAAGGUAAGUGAAGGGCAGGCAAGGUAAUGGGAAGCAAAGGCAAGGGGAAAGGGAGGGUAAGGGAGAAAGAGGGGAUGGGGAGGGGAGGGAUGGGUGAAGAGCAGAGCGGAGGAAGGGCUGAGGGGGGGCUGAAGGCAAACCAAUGAUGAAAAAGAAAAGAAAAAAUAAGAACAAAAAAUAUGAAAUAAGGGAAAAAGAAAGAAAAAUAAGAAAAAGAGAAAAAAGAAAAGAAAAAAAAAAAGAAAAAAAAGAAAAAAAAAAAAAAAAAAAAAAAAAAAGAAAAAAGAGAAAAGAAAAAAAAGAACAAAAAAAAAAAAAAAAAAAAGAAAAAAAAAAAAAUGAAAAAAAAGAGAAAAAAGAGAAAAGAAAAAAAAUGAACAAAAAGAGAAAAAAGAGAAAAAGCUAAAAAAAGAAAAAGAUAAAGAAAAAAGAAAAAAGAGAAAAUAGAAAUAAAAAAGAGGACAGAAAAAUAUGAAAAAAAGAAAAAAGAAAAAAGAAAAGAAAAAAACAAUAGAUGAAAAAAGAAAAACGAAAGGAAAAAGGUUAAUGCAAGAGAAGAAAGGUAAAGAGAAAAGAAGAAAAGCCAAGUCAAAAAGUAAAGAAUAACUCGAAGGAAGGAGUGGAUGGCAAGAAAUACAGGGAAAGCAAUGCAUAGCACAGCAAAGCAAAGCAAGGCAAAAUAGCAGCCAAAGCCACGAGAAUCAAGAAGUCAGUGAAGAGCAGGAAAGGUAAGUUUCCCUUAAAGCAAGGGGGAAUGGUAGUGGAUGG
rnacentral:lncRNA from 7 species